GUGAGGAAUUUUCCGCAAUGGGCGAAAGCCUGACGGAGCAAUGUCGCGUGAAGGAUGAAGGCCUAUGGGUUGUAAACUUCUUUUCUCAGAAAAGAAUUAUGACGGUAUCUGAGGAAUAAGCAUCGGCUAACUCUGUGCCAGCAGCCGCGGUAAGACAGAGGAUGCAAGCGUUAUCCGGAAUGAUUGGGCGUAAAGCGUCUGUAGGUUGUUUAAAAAGUAUUCUGUCAAAGAUUAGGGCUUAACCCUAGAUAGGCAGAAUAAACUUUUAAGCUAGAGUUUGGUAGAGGCAGAGGGAAUUCCCGGUGGAGCGGUGAAAUGCGUAGAUAUCGGGAGGAACACCAAAGGCGAAGGCACUCUGCUGGGCCAAUACUAACACUGAGAGACGAAAGCGAGGGGAGCAAAUGGGAUUAGAAACCCUGGUAGUCC
rnacentral:rRNA from 1 species